rnacentral:rRNA from 1 species
UGGGGUUGGCGAGUGGCGGACGGGUGAGGAAUACAUCGGAAUCUACUCUGUCGUGGGGGAUAACGUAGGGAAACUUACGCUAAUACCGCAUACGACCUACGGGUGAAAGCAGGGGACCUUCGGGCCUUGCGCGAUUGAAUGAGCCGAUGUCGGAUUAGCUAGUUGGCGGGGUAAAGGCCCACCAAGGCGACGAUCCGUAGCUGGUCUGAGAGGAUGAUCAGCCACACUGGAACUGAGACACGGUCCAGACUCCUACGGGAGGCAGCAGUGGGGAAUAUUGGACAAUGGGCGCAAGCCUGAUCCAGCCAUACCGCGUGGGUGAAGAAGGCCUUCGGGUUGUAAAGCCCUUUUGUUUGGGAAAGAAAUCCAGCUGGCUAAUACCCGGUUGGGAUGACGGUACCCAAAGAAUAAGCACCGGCUAAACUUCGUGCCAGCAGCCGCGGUAAUACGAAGGGUGCAAGCGUUUACUCGGAAUUACUGGGCGUAAAGCGUGCGUAGGUGGUCGUUUUAAGUCCGUUUGUG